UUACGAAACGUCGAAAAAACACCGUUUUUUUAAUUGCCGCAUAUUCCUCAAGUUUUUUGUUUUUUACAUACACAUGGAUAUCUUUUGCAUAAAAAAAACCAAUUACCUGCCCGAAUUACGCAACAAAAACCUCAUGAAAUUCCAAUUUUUGUAAUAAAACAAAAAAUGACCCAGUCCUGAGUGGUAUAAAAGGGGCCAAGAAUUCUCUUUGGGUGCAGUUUUUGAAUAUUUUUCUACAACAUGCUUCAACAGUUAAAAGCCGUCGUUCUCGCCGCCCUUUGGGCCACUGGUCUCAUCAUAAUGGCCACAGAACUGCCCCCUGAGGACAUCUAUUAACUGUGUCA